rnacentral:rRNA from 1 species
AGUGAACGCUGGCGGUAGGCCUAACACAUGCAAGUCGAACGGCAGCACAGUAAGAGCUUGCUCUUACGGGUGGCGAGUGGCGGACGGGUGAGGAAUACAUCGGAAUCUACUUUUUCGUGGGGGAUAACGUAGGGAAACUUACGCUAAUACCGCAUAUGACCUACGGGUGAAAGCAGUGGAUCUUCGGACCUUGCGCGAUUGAAUGAGCCGAUGUCGGAUUAGCUAGUUGGCGGGGUAAAGGCCCACCAAGGCGACGAUCCGUAGCUGGUCUGAGAGGAUGAUCGGCCACACUGGAACUGAGACACGGUCCAGACUCCUACGGGAGGCAGCAGUGGGGAAUAUUGGGCAAUGGGCGCAAGCCUGAUCCAGCCAUACCGCGUGGGUGAAGAAGGCCUUCGGGUUGUAAAGCCCUUUUGUUGGGAAAGAAAAGUAGCGGGUUAAUACCCCGCUGUUCUGACGGUACCCAAAGAAUAAGCACCGGCUAACUUCGUG